UGACUAGACCGAACACUCGUGCU
ensembl:ncRNA